UACGUAGGGUGCGAGCGUUGUCCGGAAUUAUUGGGCGUAAAGGGCUCGUAGGCGGUUUGUCGCGUCGGGAGUGAAAACCCAGGGCUUAACUCUGGGCUUGCUUUCGAUACGGGCAGACUAGAGGCAUGCAGGGGAGAACGGAAUUCCUGGUGUAGCGGUGAAAUGCGCAGAUAUCAGGAGGAACACCGGUGGCGAAGGCGGUUCUCUGGGCAUUACCUGACGCUGAGGAGCGAAAGUGUGGGGAGCGAACAGG
rnacentral:rRNA from 1 species